GCGUACACUGCAUCUAGCUGAUCAGCAUGCCGCGUGAGUGAUGAAGGCCUUAGGGUUGUAAAGCUCUUUUACCAGGGAUGAUAAUGACAGUACCUGGAGAAUAAGCUCCGGCUAACUCCGUGCCAGCAGCCGCGGUAAUA
rnacentral:rRNA from 1 species